GGCGGCAGGCCUAACACAUGCAAGUCGAGCGGUAGAGAGAAGCUUGCUUCUCUUGAGAGCGGCGGACGGGUGAGUAAUGCCUAGGAAUCUGCCUGGUAGUGGGGGAUAACGUUCGGAAACGGACGCUAAUACCGCAUACGUCCUACGGGAGAAAGCAGGGGACCUUCGGGCCUUGCGCUAUCAGAUGAGCCUAGGUCGGAUUAGCUAGUUGGUGAGGUAAUGGCUCACCAAGGCGACGAUCCGUAACUGGUCUGAGAGGAUGAUCAGUCACACUGGAACUGAGACACGGUCCAGACUCCUACGGGAGGCAGCAGUGGGGAAUAUUGGACAAUGGGCGAAAGCCUGAUCCAGCCAUGCCGCGUGUGUGAAGAAGGUCUUCGGAUUGUAAAGCACUUUAAGUUGGGAGGAAGGGUUGUAGAUUAAUACUCUGCAAUUUUGACGUUACCGACAGAAUAAGCACCGGCUAACUCUGUGCAGCAGCCGCGGUAAUACAGAGGGUGCAAGCGUUAAUCGGAAUUACUGGGCGUAAAGCGCGCGUAGGUGGUUUGUUAAGUUGGAUGUGAAAUCCCCGGGCUCAACCUGGGAACUGCAUUCAAAACUGACUGACUAGAGUAUGGUAGAGGGUGGUGGAAUUUCCUGUGUAGCGGUGAAAUGCGUAGAUAUAGGAAGGAACACCAGUGGCGAAGGCGACCACCUGGACUAAUACUGACACUGAGGUGCGAAAGCGUG
rnacentral:rRNA from 1 species